GCGCUCGCUUCGGCAGCACAUAUACUAAAAUUGGAACGAUACAGAGAAGAUUAGCAUGGCCCCUGCGCAAAGAAAAAAAAAAGAAGUAGGUCCAAUGUUU
rnacentral:snRNA from 1 species